UAUUGAAAAUUUCAUCCAUUUUUGCUAUUAAAAAUGGGUAUGACUAACAAAAUAACUAAACUAUUAUACCUGGCAUGCUAUGUGUACUUCAUUUUUUACAUAUAGGAAUCAGUUUUUAAUAGUAAAAAUGGAUGAAAUUUUUAAUA
rfam:Gossypium raimondii Chr01_contig_413, whole genome shotgun sequence.